rnacentral:rRNA from 1 species
GAGGAACGCAUUUAUUAGAUAAAAAGCCAAUGCAUGCUUUUACAGUAUGGAAAUUGGUGAUUUAUAAUAACUUGGCAAAUCGCAAAGUGAAAACAGGCGAUAAAUCAUUCAAGUUUCUGACCUAUCAGCUUUCGACGGUAUGGUAUUGGCUUACCGUGGCAGUGACGGUUAACGGGGGAUUAGGGUUCGAUUCCGGAGAGGGAGCCUGAGAAACGGCUACCACAUCUAAGGAAGGCAGCAGGCGCGCAAAUUACCCAAUUCUAACAGUUUGAGAGAGGUAGUAACAAGAAAUAACAAUACAAGGCAAUUAAAAUGCUUUGUAAUUGGAAUGAUAGAAAUUUAAACCCUUUUUAAAGUAUCAAUUGGAGGGCAAGUCUGGUGCCAGCAGCCGCGGUAAUUCCAGCUCCAAUAGCGUAUAUUAAAAUUGUUGCAGUUAAAAAGCUCGUAGUUGAAGUUCUGCUAAAAGUAACCGGUCUGCUUUUAAUAAAAGUGGUAUCUUGGUGUGUAUUUAGCAAUGAUGUCCUUUGAAGUGUUUUUUACUUUAUUGUAAUAAAGCAUAUUCAGGACUUUUACUUUGAGAAAAUUAGAGUGUUUCUAGCAGGCCGACGCUUUGAAUACUGCAGCAUGGAAUAAAUUAAGA